UCUACAAAUGAAAAUUUGUAGCGGUUAGCUGGGAACAAGAGAAAGUGGGAUUAGGAAAGAGCAGGGAAACACAAAGGGCCCUGGGAGGUCGGGAAGGAGGAGGGAAGUUGGAGAAGUAGUUGCAGGCAAGCAGGACACGUGAGGCUCUGAGAAACUAGAACAGGAGAGAGUUUCAAAUGGGAGGGAAUGGGCAACAGUAGCGGGCCACAGGCAUCUCCCCUUGCAAGCUCAAUCAUGUAUUUUCCUAGUUCCUGGUCAAAGUCUGAGGACCUGGAGUUGUUUCCAUCUUUUGGCUUGCACAAAAAUAUUUUUGGUGAACAUCUUUUCUACCAUACGUGCAUAUCUGAACUUCUGUGUUCGAAGCAUAAGGGUGGCUGUGUGAAAGGGCCUAUCAUUCAAUCACACUCCACAGAUGUACCAGCUUUUUUUCCAACAAAAAGCAUGUAUUUGUGCCUGUCUUACCACACCAUUGCCAGCAUUGAAUAUUAUAGUUUAAACUAACUGAUAAUUUUAUGGAUGAAAAACCAAGUUCUGUUGCUUUGUUUCACAUUUCUUUGAUAGCUUACGAGACAGCGCUCUCUCCUUUGUUUCUUGUCCAUUUGUAUUCCUUCCAGUCCUGUUAUUUUUGUGCUCUUUGUUAGGGAGUCUAUGGCACUUCCAAUUUCGUUAUUGAUAUUUAAGACUUUAUGUCAGUUAAAUGCCCCCCUAAUUCCUGAUGCUCCCCAGACACCCCAUGCGUUCAUGCAGUCUUCCCCCACCAUGCAAACCAUGCUGAGAAGGGGGAUUCCAGCCCACUAGUGGAGGAAGAACUAUGAACUGGAUCAAUUCAUACUGGAAUGCAUGCGAUGUCUUGGCAAACCAUGCUGAGAAGGGGGAUUCCAGCCGACUAGUGGAGGAAGAACUAUGAACUGGAUCAAUUCAUACUGGAAUGCAUGCGAUGUCUUGGCUCUCCUUUUCCCAUCAGCCCUCCUAUGGCCUCCUGCCUGACAUAUAUCAUAUACAGAUACAAAUAGGUACAGAUAUACUUUAGAUACUUGUGGAGUGAGUCCAUUCCUGUGGUUCCCAGGGAUGAAAUGAUAUUAGGAUUAGGAUGGAAGGGAGAAACUCUGGUGAGGUGGUUUUCAAGUCAAGAUAGUCUUUCUAAUUGACUCAGUUGCUCAAAGGUGGGAUGAGCUACAACGAGCAGUGGUGAGAUGUCCAGGUAGGGACAUCCUGGUCUCAGAGGGACUUUGUCAUCUCAGGAACUGUCAUAGGUUAUCACAUUGCCCUAGAGGUUUCCUGUCUGCCCAUGAAUGUGGCUUCAGACAUUACCCAAAAUUUUCUCUUGGUACCAUUGUCCUAAGUCAGAAAAGGCACACACAUUUCUUUCCAUGUGCCAGUCCCUAUGGGCUGGUAGCGGCUGCCCAGAGGGCUAGUUGAAUAGUAUUAUACUGCUGUCUCUGGGUUCGGCAGGGCAGGAUACUGUGACGAGCAGUAUCAUGUCUUCCACAGGUGCUGGAACAGAGCAGGUCAGUGUCUGCAUCAUCCUUGUCUUAGGGAAUCGAUCCACCCCUGUCUCCUGCUCUCAUUCAUCUUGAUGUUCCUGUAGAUUUCCCAUCAUGAAUCAAGUUCGUAUUCUUCCCUCACCUGUUAUAUUUGGUAGUUGAAAAUCACUCUCGUUUUCUCGGUUCCUGACCAGCUCUAGUUCCUGGGAGCCCCAUCUGGGAAGAACUUGCACAGGAUUGGGUUUUGGACAUGGAUUCCUUUUUUUUUCCCCUUCUUUUAAAAAAUUUAUUUAUCUAAAUUCAAGUUAAUUAACAUACAGUGUAGUAUUGGUUUCAGGAGUAGGACCCAGUUAUUCAUCACUUCCAUAUAACACCCAGUGCUCGUCCCAGCAAGUGUCCUCCUUAAUGCCCAUCACCCAUUUGGGCCAUCCCCCUACCCACCUUCCCUCCAGCAACACUCAGUUUGUUCUCAGUAUUUAAGAAUCUCUUGGGGUGCCUGGGUGGCUCAUUUGGUUAAGUGUCCGACUUCGGCUCUGGUUAAGUGUCUGACUUCGGAUCAGGUCAUAAUCUGGCAGUUCAUGAGCUUGAGCCCCGCAUUGGACUCUGUGCUGACAGCUCAGAGCCUGGAGCCUGCUUCAAGAUUCUGUGUGUCUCUCUCUUCCCUUCCCCUGCUUGUGCUCUGUCUCUCUGUCUCCCUCAAAAAUAAAUAAACUUUAAAAAAUUUAAAAGAAAGAAUC
ensembl:lncRNA